GACGAACGCUGGCGGCGUGCUUAACACAUGCAAGUCGAACGCUGAAGCUUGGUGCUUGCACUGGGUGGAUGAGUGGCGAACGGGUGAGUAAUACGUGAGUAACCUGCCCUUGACUCUGGGAUAAGCCUGGGAAGCUGGGUCUAAUACUGGAUACGAUAUGUCACCGCAUGGUGGUGUGUGGAAAGGGUUUUACUGGUUUUGGAUGGGCUCACGGCCUAUCAGCUUGUUGGUGGGGUAAUGGCUCACCAAGGCGACGACGGGUAGCCGGCCUGAGAGGGUGACCGGCCACACUGGGACUGAGACACGGCCCAGACUCCUACGGGAGGCAGCAGUGGGGAAUAUUGCACAAUGGGCGGAAGCCUGAUGCAGCGACGCCGCGUGAGGGAUGACGGCCUUCGGGUUGUAAACCUCUUUCAGCACGGAAGAAGCGAGAGUGACGGUACGUGCAGAAGAAGCGCCGGCUAACUACGUG
rnacentral:rRNA from 1 species